rnacentral:rRNA from 1 species
AGGAUGAAGCCCCUCGGGGUGUAAACUGCUGUCAGGGUUUAGGAAGCAAGUGACCAAACCCAAAGGAAGAGACGACUAACUCUGUGCCAGCAGUCGCGGUAAUACAGAGGUCUCGAGCGUUAGUCGGAAUCACUGGGCUUAAAGCGUGCGUAGGCGGAUGCGCAGGCGUCGUGUGAAAGCCCUCGGCUCAACCGAGGAAUUGCACGGCGAACCGCGCGUCUUGAGACGAGUAUGGGCGGUCGGAACGAUAGGUGGAGUGGUGAAAUGCGUUGAUAUCUAUCGGAACGCCAAAGGUGAAGACAGGCCGCUGGGCUCGUUCUGACGCUGAGGCACGAAAGCGUGGGGAGCAAACGGGAUUAGAUACCCCGGUAGUCCACGCCGUAAACGAUGUGCACGAGAUCGAGGAAGGUACUGACGCCUCUCUCGGUCGAAGUAAAAACGAUGAGUGCACCGCCUGGGGAGUACGGUCGCAAGGCUA